UUGCAUCGUCGUGGUCGGAAACGACUCGACAGCAUCAGAUAAGACCCGCUUAGUACAGUGCCUGACACAUAGCAGUGCUUAACAAAUACCAUUAAAGAAAGAAGUUUUGCGCUGAAGAUUCCAGUAACUUGAAAAUUGCAUUUUUCUUCGCAUGCCACAAAACAGUUCUUUGCCGUUCCACAAGAAUAAGUGAAUUGUUUACAGCAAGACAUUCUCCCCGAGUUUAUUCCCCUGUUGGAGACCUUAGUGACCAACAGACAAUUAGCUUGAUUUUAGCAUUAUGGAAUGUAAUAAAAAUAGUCCGAACCAGA